UACAGAGGGUGCGAGCGUUAAUCGGAAUUACUGGGCGUAAAGCGCACGUAGGCGGCUUUGUAAGUUAGAGGUGAAAGCCCGGGGCUCAACUCCGGAAUUGCCUUUAAGACUGCAUCGCUAGAAUUGUGGAGAGGUAAGUGGAAUUCCGAGUGUAGAGGUGAAAUUCGUAGAUAUCGAGAGGAACACCGGUGGCGAAGGCGGCCUUCUGGACAGUGACUGACGCUGAGACGCGAAAGCGUGGGGAGCAAACAGG
rnacentral:rRNA from 1 species